rnacentral:rRNA from 1 species
CAGUCGCCGCGGUAAUACGUAGGGUGCAAGCGUUAAUCGGAAUUACUGGGCGUAAAGCGUGCGCAGGCGGUUCUAUAAGACAGAUGUGAAAUCCCCGGGCUCAACCUGGGAACUGCAUUUGUGACUGUAGAGCUGGAGUGCGGCAGAGGGGGAUGGAAUUCCGCGUGUAGCAGUGAAAUGCGUAGAUAUGCGGAGGAACACCGAUGGCGAAGGCAAUCCCCUGGGCCUGCACUGACGCUCAUGCACGGAAGCGUGGGGAGCAAACAGGAUAGAGACCCCCGUAGUCCCUGUCUCUUAUACC